rnacentral:lncRNA from 1 species
AUGUCAGAAUGUGGAUUUCACAUUUCCCUGGAGUUCUGGAGAAAACCUUCCAGCCCAUGUCCUGCAUCUGUGAACAGAGGGUGCUGCAGGAGCAGGAACCAGCCUGGGGGUUUGGAGCUUGGGCACCACUGGGAAGCAGCUCCUCACAGGUACCACUACCAGAGGGAUGUUUGGGAUCAGAGCUUCCAGCCUGGAGCCUCUGAGCUCCUCUCCUCCACCAGGGCAAGAGGGAAUCUGAAUUUGCUGAAGGAUUGGUUCCUUGGGUGCUAUUGUAGUGAUUCUCCUUAGAUGCAGAACCUCAGCCUUCAGUGAGGCCUUUUCUUCCUGCACGACUGCCAGAUGGGUGAAUUAUUUUACAUUUUCAUUUUGCACACAAGCAUUUUUGGCAGCUUUGCCAUCUGCCAGAUUUGAGAUCGGUGAAUCAUGUCUUUUUCAGGCAAGUCCUUUUGGUGAUUUUGGUGUCUGACAGGAGGGGAUGAUUUCUGCAUUGCCUCUGCAGAGCCAUGAGCAGGAUGGGGCUGGGAGAGGCAGACCUGCAGGUUUGGACGUACACAGGGAUCUGUUCUCAUUUUGUAGGAAUGCACAGAACAGACAGGAACAGAGAAGAGCUGCUAACACCCCUCCCCUGCAGGCAGCCAGCAGCACCCUACACCUGGGGCAGAGUGGGUGACACUUGGCUCCUUUUGGGGACACUGGGAGCACCCAGGGCAGAGCUGGUGGCACUUGUCUCCUUGUGUCCCUUUUUGGGGACGUUUGGAAUACCCAGGGCAAAAUAGAUGGCACUUUGUCUCCUUUUUCCCCCUUUUGGGGACGUUUGGAACACCCAAGGCAGAGUAGGUGGUACUUUAGCUCCUUGUGUCCCCUUUUUGGGGACGCUCAGAACACCCAGGGCAGAGCUGGUGGCACUUGUCUUCUUUUCUCACCUUUAGGGGAUGCUCAGAACUCCCAGGACAGAGCUGUGGGGUGGUGGCACUUGUCUCCUUGUGUCCCCUUUUGGCGAUGCUCGGAGCACCCAGGGCAGAGCUGAUGGCACUUGUCUCCUUGUGUCCCUUUUUGGGGACGUUUGGAAUACCCAGGGCAAAAUAGAUGGCACUUUGUCUCCUUUUUCCCCCUUUUGGGGACGUUUGGAACACCCAAGGCAGAGUAGGUGGUACUUUAGCUCCUUGUGUCCCCUUUUUGGGGACGCUCAGAACACCCAGGGCAGA